CCUAAUGAAGCUUAUACUUACCAAGCAGUGGUCUUGUAAAUCACAGAAGGCUUAAGCCCUAAGGC
rnacentral:tRNA from 1 species